AUUGAACGCUGGCGGCAGGCUUAACACAUGCAAGUCGAGCGGAGAUGAGGUGCUUGCACCUUAUCUUAGCGGCGGACGGGUGAGUAAUGCUUAGGAAUCUGCCUAUUAGUGGGGGACAACAUUCCGAAAGGGAUGCUAAUACCGCAUACGUCCUACGGGAGAAAGCAGGGGAUCUUCGGACCUUGCGCUAAUAGAUGAGCCUAAGUCGGAUUAGCUAGUUGGUGGGGUAAAGGCCUACCAAGGCGACGAUCUGUAGCGGGUCUGAGAGGAUGAGACGCCACACGGGGACUGAGCCACGGCCCAGACUCCUACGGGAGGCAGCAGUGGGGAAUAUUGGACAAUGGGGGGAACCCUGAUCCAGCCAUGCCGCGUGUGUGAAGAAGGCCUUAUGGUUGUAAAGCACUUUAAGCGAGGAGGAGGCUACUGAGACUAAUACUCUUGGAUAGUGGACGUUACUCGCAGAAUAAGCACCGGCUAACUCUGUGCCAGCCGCCGCCGUAACAC
rnacentral:rRNA from 1 species